UCUCCGUUGGUGAACCAGCGGAGGGAUCAUUGCUGGAAGCGUCUCACGGCGCACCCAGAUACCCUUUGUGAACCUAUACCUAUCUGUUGCCUCGGCGCAGGCUGGGAGCUUCUGUAAACUCCCCCCCGCGGACUCACCUCUGCGCGGAGCAGGCCCGCCGGCGGCCCCACUCCACUCUUAUGUAAGCGGCACUGCCUGUCUGAUUAUACUGUUACCGAAAUGGAAAACACAACUUUCAACAACGGAUCUCUUGGCUCUGGCAUCGAUGAAGAACGCAGC
rnacentral:misc_RNA from 1 species